rnacentral:rRNA from 1 species
CCUACGGGGGGCUGCAGUGGGGAAUAUUGCACAAUGGGGGAAACCCUGAUGCAGCGACGCCGCGUGAGUGAAGAAGUAAUUCGUUACGUAAAGCUCUAUCAGCAGGGAAGAAACACUGACCUUACGGUCAGCAGACGGUACCUGAGUAAGAAGCGCCGGCUAACUACGUGCCACCAGCGGCGGUAAUACGUAGGGGGCAAGCGUUAUCCGGAUUUACUGGGUGGAAAGGGGGCGGAGACGGUGAGCCAAGUCUGGAGUGAAAUGCCGCAGCUUAACUGCGGAACUGCUUUGGAAACUGGCGAACUAGAGUGCGGGAGGGGUAAGCGGAAUUCCUAGUGUAGCGGUGAAAUGCGUAGAUAUUAGGAGGAACACCGGUGGCGAAGGCGGCUUACUGGACCGUAACUGACGUUGAGGCUCGAAAGCGUGGGGAGCAAACAGGAUUAGAUACCCGAGUAGUC